rnacentral:rRNA from 1 species
GAUUCUGGCUCAGGACGAACGCUGGCGGCGUGCCUAACACAUGCAAGUCGAACGGAACUGUUUUGAAAGAUUUCUUCCGAAUGAAUUUGAUUUAGUUUAGUGGCGGACGGGUGAGUAACGCGUGAGUAACCUACCUUCAAGAGGGGGAUAACAUUCUGAAAAGAAUGCUAAUACCGCAUGAUAUAUCGGAACCACAUGGUUUUGAUAUCAAAGAUUUUAUCGCUUGAAGAUGGACUCGCGUCCGAUUAGUUAG